UACAGAGGGGGCAAGCGUUGUUCGGAAUUACUGGGCGUAAAGGGCGCGUAGGCGGCCUGUUAAGUCGAACGUGAAAUCCCCGGGCUCAACCCGGGAACUGCGUCCGAUACUGGCAGGCUUGAAUUCGGGAGAGGGAUGCGGAAUUCCAGGUGUAGCGGUGAAAUGCGUAGAUAUCUGGAGGAACACCGAUGGCGAAGGCAGAUCUCUGGGCCGUAACUGACGCUGAGGAGCGAAAGCAUGGGGAGCGAACAGG
rnacentral:rRNA from 1 species